rnacentral:misc_RNA from 1 species
UGAUGAAUGAAAGACUGGGAUAUGAGCAAUCAAAUCGAAAAACUCCAUCCUCCAGGAUAGGCUCAAAAAUCAUAUUCCCUGAUUUGACAUCAGAAGUAACUGUCUUCCCUUCAUGACCGGCCAUUUUAGAUUCCAAUGCGAACUUCGUACUGAGUCUGAGCCUCUUCUUUCUGAAUGAUCGAAAUUUUGAAAAUGUUGUGAGAGUGAAGAUAGAGUGAAGAGGAGGAAACUGAGAAUGAAUGGUGCUAAAGAUUUGCAGUGUUGGUACACGUAGUGCUUGUUCCAUUGGUGGAGCUGAUGAAG